CAUGUUUUUACUCUGUUUUUGAGCAAAUAAAAGCAGUUUUGGUGAGCAUAAAAGAUGCAUUUCUAAAACAUAAAAAAAACAUUAUUACAAACAUUUGCUGGUAGUUUAUUGUUAGUUACAUUAAUAUAUACUGUUCUCUCUCUUCUGUUCAUACAGGGAUACAGGUAUGUUCAACUUUUUACAUGAAACAGAAGUUGAAACAAAGUUUGUUUACUAUGUUUUAAAAAUGUCUGUUUUUGUUCAAAAGGAAACAGGAAAUGGUUUACAUGAAAACGAAAGUUUAAAAGUUGUUGGCGGUAGGAAAAUAGUUGAACCAUUUGAAACAGAAGAACAAGUCCUAACAACAUGCGAAUGACUACAGUUUCUACACUACUCAGAUAUUUCACUACAUCUACUGAAGGAGUUAUCAUGAUUGAAAUGUAGCAGUUUGAGCCACAGUCAUUGAAACAAAAGUCAAACAGCAUCAAAUGAUUUUGCCAUCUUCUAUUAAACAAUUACUAAUGAAAUACUGUGUGUGUCAAGCCUAAAAACAAAAGUAAUAUUGAAUGUAACAACAAUAAUUACAUGAGCCAGCAUAUUACCACUGCAUUAUCACUUUCUAUAAGACACUUGUUUACAGAAACAGUAUUUUACUGCUUUUGCACAAUAAAAUAUUUUUGUAAGGAUUACUUAAAUGUAUGAUAACAGCCUUUUUUUGAACAAAGUUAGCAAUCACUUAAAAUGUGAGCCUAUCUGUGUGUUUUCGUUAUCUCUAUAGUGCUUUAGUUAUCACAUUUUGUCAGCUUCUCAAAGGCAAUAACGGUAUUAGUAUUGUACAUCAGGGGCUGUAUUCACAAAACAUUUUAUCUUACCACUAAAAGUUCUCUUAAAUAUCAGUAAAAGUUCUUAGGUAAGAGUUUCCUCUUAAAACCUAUUCACAAAGCUGCUGAGAGCAACUUUUACUAAGAAAUGGAAAGAAAUCUUAUACUAAGAGGAAGGGCGGGUUUGACCUUAUUGCUAUGGAAGAUGUCAACAAGCCUACUAUGCCCACAGUGAUUGCAGAUGGAGGCCAAUCAGUGAUUUAGUCAUAGAAAUAUUGGAUGAGGUAUCAUGUUGCCAUAUUCAAAUAAAGGUUUUUUGAAUAAAAGUGUUGCCAUAUUCAAACAAAGUAUUUAAAAUGUAAAUGGUCACUAAUUAAACACGUAUGUUCAGCUAAUUAUCAGUCACUUGCAUGUCUGUAUCUCAUGAACAAUUAGCGGAUAUGCAAAUAAGGGGAAUUUUAAUGAACAGACAUGGCUGAUAGUAAGACAUUGUGCAAACUUAAAAGAAAACCAAACUGGACUCAAGAAGGACA
rnacentral:lncRNA from 1 species